GCCCGAGUGGCGGAAUUGGUAGACGCGCUACGUUCAGGUCGUAGUCUGAUUACUCAGGUGGAGGUUCAAGUCCUCUCUCGGGCACCA
rnacentral:tRNA from 1 species